AUAGCACCGAAGCUGUGGCAUCAAGAGAAAUCUUGUUGGGUAGGGGAGCGUUGUGUAAGCUGAAGAAGGUGGUUCGAGAGGGCUGCUGGAGGUAUCACAAGUGCGAAUGCUGACAUAAGUAACGAUAAAACGGGUGAAAAACCCGUUCGCCGGAAGACCAAGGGUUCCUGUCCAACGUUAAUCGGGGCAGGGUGAGUCGGCCCCUAAGGCGAGGCUGAAAAGCGUAGUCGAUGGGAAACGGGUUAAUAUUCCCGUACUUGGUAAAGCUGCGAUGUGGGGACGGAGAAGGUUAGGUUAUCGACCUGUUGGAGAUGGUCGUUUAAGUU
rnacentral:rRNA from 1 species